rnacentral:misc_RNA from 3 species
AACGCACAUUGCGCCCGCUGGUAUUCCGGCGGGCAUGCCUGUUCGAGCGUCAUUUCAACCCUCAAGCCCCCGGGUUUGGUGUUGGGGAUCGGCUCUGCCUUACGGCGGUGCCGCCCCCGAAAUACAUUGGCGGUCUCGCUGCAGCCUCCAUUGCGUAGUAGCUAACACCUCGCAACUGGAACGCGGCGCGGCCAUGCCGUAAAACCCCAACUUCUGAAUGUUGACCUCGGAUCAGGUAGGAAUACCCGCUGAACUUAA